AUUUAGUUUUUGUGGUUAGAAUUUUUUAUACUCCAUUUGAACUCAAUUGAAGUAUUACAACCAUAUCCUUGCAGGUAUAGGAAACAGCUGCAAUAUGAUUUUAAUAUUUGCAAUAUAUUAGUGUUCUGACAAUGGAAAAGUUCCUAACCGCAUGUCUGUAUUACACCUCUGACCCAGACUGUCAGUAUUGCAAACCCUAUAUGAAGACUCUGCUUUCACUGUUUAUGUAUACACCCCUAGACGACCGUGCUAUACGUGCACAAUAAAGCUUAUUAAUAUUAUAUCUGUGUGGUACACAAAGAGGUGUACACAAAGAGGGGGUGUGAGUUAGGUCAUCUCGACCUUCAUAUGGAAUAUGCUUCCUCCUUGUUCACUUUUGGUCAAACUGUUGGUCUGUGACUGGCCCUCUUUGACCCCAACUGAAUUUUUUGGGAAGAUACAUGAGAAAGAUACAGCAGGUUGUUUUGAUAUAAAGAAAGAGGGAAAAGUAUGUUGUAUCGGUCACAAAAGGAUUGUGAUCUUAAGCAGGCAAGACAAAGAAAUUUUGGAGGUGAUAGGAGAUUGAAUCAGAAAAGUUUCAGAGGCAGAGAAUUUGAUCAAAGGAUCUAACUUUUGUAGAGGUGGUAACUUCAGCACUGUUUUAAUUGUGGAUAGCAGGGAUUCACCCAAAGGUGCUUGUGGUGAACCCGGUUCUCCUGGUCAACCUAGUCAAGCUGGCAUUCAAGGACUCCCACCCUGGCAGGUUCCUCAAUACCAACCACAACUUUCAAGCUAUACCCACACCCAACAACCUCAGCCUAAUACACAGAUGGUUCAUGUUUUUAAUACUUUAUAUAUAUAGUUUUGAUAGAUAAAACAGUAUUAAUGCUGGCUCUUAGAGGAUGUACAAGCUAAAGUUGGGACCUAGACAUUGUUUGCAUAGGCUGUGCAAUGUGAAAUAACUAAAAUAAAAUAGGAUAAUAAGUAUGCUUAGUCAAUUUGUAACGUGGUAUCCUAGAGGUAUCUGCAAUAAAAUAAGUGGGUUUCCAAGACCUGACAAGUGAGGGCAACUUAAUAUAACAUAUGUCUACAGUUUGCUGUCCCUUCCUUAUCAGAGGCCACUUGCAACACAGCAGGACAACUCUUCUGAAACCUGUAUUAAACAAAGCACUUUAGAACAAUAGUAAUUCAUUUUGUGUCUCUAGUAGUUCUGAAAAAAUAUAUUGUUUAAGUGGGAUAACUGUAUGGAGGUUCUAACAUGUAUUAAAACAUGAUCACACACCUACAGAACUGGUGGCUUUUUGGACAUCGGGAUCUAUAAAGGGUUUCGGUUUCCAAAGAUGUUAUCAGGGUCCACAAAACUGACAGACUUCAGAAUUUCAAUGUUAUUAAAGUAAUUAAUUGAGAUUAUCAAAUCAAGGUUUAAAUUUAAGAACAGCAUUUUAUUGGGAAUUAUACCAAUAUGUAUAUGUUAUUGUUUUAGUACUCAACAAGCAUUUAUAUAGAAUGAGUGCUUCUCUCAUCCAUACAAAGGCAUUCUAAAGGGAAAUUAUGUAUUAAAAUUUUAUAAAGGACAAAUAAAAAAACAUAAACAUAAAGGACAUAAACAAAACUGAGAGAAGUACAUGUUACACUAGUUAAGAGUUUAACUUUAGUAUCCUAUUUGAGUUUAGCCUAGAUAAUUAAUUUAUUGAUGUCGUACUGAUCCUUGUGUUUGUAUGAUUAUAGAGACCGUACUGGAGUAUUUGUGCCGCCUGAUAUUUGGGACUACACACCAAUCUCUCUGGCUGACCUACCUGCCUACCUACCUUUUUUUGCAAUUAAAUCUGUUUGGUCAAAAUCCAUGCUGGCCGAAGAAACCGAGAUGCUUACUUAUGAGGACAUAAACUAACUUGGAAAGUCCUGAAGAUGCAGUGCUGUCUAAUGCCACUAUUUCUGUAUAACCCUUCAACAAUUGGGGUGUUGCACAGAGUAUUGUGGUGAACAUCCAGCAAACAGAAGUUUUUAAGAACUAUGUGGAAGCUGACAUUGUCUUGUUGUCAGCCAUAUUGCUACCCUUAGCUAUGUUAUGGUGUCUAAGAUUAUGGAACAAAGUUUAUGGUGUCUAAGAUUCUUUAUACUCCUUGAAAGACUUAUAAUAAUUUUCUGGACUAUGCUGGACAAUUGAACUAUUUUGUUAUUUUUAUUUUUGUAGCGUUAGCCAGAGAGAGAGGAAGUGUUAGCUUACUCAGGCAUGGAUGUACUAUGUGUGUCAUUGAUGUAUGUUGAGUGUACCAAGGAUGGAUUCCCAUGUAUUAAGUGUGGAUAUGACUGGACCAUCGAAAUAGGGAUUUGAUUAGGAGGCAUAGGACGCAAGGUCAUGAUUGGGAUUAUUGCUAGAAUUGCAAACUGAUUAGAAAUGAUCUCAUGAUUUAAUAUGUAAGUGGGCCUUUUCAAACUAAUCAAGAAGUGUUUCCCAAUCCCGAUACCCGAGCUAUUUACUUACAAGUGCAGGUUUUAUACGUCACUAAUGCUGUUAACGUGAGGGGAUGACAUGUCUACACAGUCAUGGCCCUCACUUAGAGUUUCCCCAGAUGUGCUUUUUUUCCUCAAUUAUGAGUUUUUGCCACUGGGUUUUUUGACCUGGCCCAAGUUCACUGGGUGGACUGGUAAUCCAAGACCCUGGUGCAAAGAGGGGAAAUAGAUUUUAUUCCCAUUUUUGAUUAUAUGUGUUUACGUUGUGAAUUAUAAUAAUAAUAAUAUUCCCGUUGUUGAGAAUAAUACACUUUGCCUGUUUUGAUCCAAGGCUCAAGUUACAGAUAACAUGAUGUGCAGUCUGUUUAAAAUUGAUUAAGAUGUCAGCUGUUUGAAAUAUUUAACUUGUACACUUAAAAGAUGUGUACAACAGAUGAUUACAGAAGCUGAAAAUCGACAGCUCGAUCUCCUCUUAAAGGGAAAACCUACGGCACAGAGCAAAUGGGGGAAAUCGAGGUGAAGAAAUAAUGAAAGUCCCACAGACGUGAUUAGCACGUCUGAAUAUAAAUCCUUUCGUUUCUCUGCCGCAGGCCUCCCAUGGAUAUUCCGUAAGGUAGAUCAUGAUAUGAUCUAAGAGGGGAAUUGUAGAUGCGAACAUCCAUUUUGCUCAAUAGCCUAGCUGUUCAUAUAAGGGUUAAUUUGAACCAAGAAUAGAUUUGGAAUUGUAUCUCCAAUUCUCGUAAAUAAAACGUAUCUAUUUACGGGAAAUGUUAUUGGAACAUGAUUUUGGAUAUCUACAUGACAUGACAUGACAUGAUAAGGAUUCUGGAAUGACCUUGUUAAUUGUCCAAGAUUGUGGUAUUUGUAAUCAUCUGGGUUUUAUCCAAUAUGCAUACAUUAUGUAACAUCGAAUUAUAACUAAAAACAGCUGUUUAUAACUUGUGAAAAACAAUGUCAUUGUCACGCCCAUAUGCUCAUUUUUCCCCCUCCCAUCCUGCUAUGAAAAUGGGGUAUAAAUAUAAC